ACACAGCUAGAUCCAUACCCCUAAACUCCCUAAAUGGAGGACAACGGCAUAUGCUGUUGUCCGCUUUUU
rnacentral:sRNA from 1 species